GUGGAAUUUGACAACAUGACAGAAAUGCCACUGCACAAGUAUAUCCAUCUCUAGGCUUUUUGUUAUGCAUAACUGUGAGGAAAACAAUCAGUGGAGUAAAAUACCCCUUUGAGGAGUGUAAUUUGGUAACAAUUUGUAAACAUGAUAAUGUGCCUUCUUAAUUCAAAGGCAUUUGAUAGAGAUAUCUUGACACUUUCAUUACAGGAGCUGUCAGGAAUAAUCCGGAGGAGGAGAAGAGUCUUAUUGGAAAGUGCCUUCUUAUCUGUGGUAUAAGAAUCAGGUGCCAGAAGUUUUCUAACCUGCUGUGCUGAUGCAGAAGAGCCACGCAGCUGGCAUAACCAGCCAUCCAC
rnacentral:lncRNA from 1 species